CACCAGGAGAGGCAGGAGCCCUAAGCUGUGCCCAUCUGGGCAGAGGAGACCUCCUCCUAUCAUCACUGGCAUGCAUCAGCCUUACUUGAGCUCUCCACCAGCAGGCUUGCAUGGCAAUAAGAAAGAUGCACCAGUAACUCUUUCCUCCAAUUUCCUGACACAAUUCUUUGUCACAGAGACAGAAUCUCCCAUGGGCUCCCAGCCAGCUGUGCACACUUGCACACCACUGCAGUGAGUUACCAGGACUAGAUCCUGUAUUGCCUGCCUCUACAGAGCUCAGUCUCCCAUGCAGCCAUGCACCCUAUUGCUCGCCUGCUGCCUUAUCACUGCCUGGUAGGCUCCACUGCUGCGAGUUGCUAGCAGCAGACCCUGGAUUGUCUGCAUGCAAUCAGCCUGUGUGGUCAGUGUGACAUCAUGUUGAGACUGCACGACAUCCUGCCUCUGCAUCUGAGGGUCCUGUCUAAGAAUCCCUGGACAGAGCAUCCAGAAGCCAGGAGAACAAGUCAGAGACUGUCUGCAAUUCCCCCUGAAGCCAGGAGAUCCCAUACCCUCAACGUCCAUGGGGAGAAUUCCAUGAAGAUUGGACAUUUAUAUAGGCUAUGAUGUAGCCCCAGAGGGUGAUUGAUAAUUAAUAAGAAUUUGUAAAUAAAUAGUAAUGCUUUAAUGCCUCUGUAAUUCUCUAUUGCCUUCUGCCAUAGAGCAGAAAGAGCUUCAGCCCAUCUACUGGGCAAGCAGCAUAUUGACCCCAAGCGGCAUUUGGCCACAGGGAAAUUCCUCUCUCUGUUUAUAGUUUGAAUGUUUGCUAGAUAUUAACGAGUUACUGUUUGAUGUUAUUCCUAGAAUGUCUUCCAUAACCAUGUAAGAACAAAUAUUAAUGUUAAAAUUCAGUGGUUGGGGGUGGUGAGAGUUCAGAAUAUUGAAAUUAAUAAAUUAUAUAUUUUUAUAGAA